rnacentral:ncRNA from 1 species
UGGAAAUACAAAAUGAGAGCAGGACACCACUCCCCUUGGUUAGGAUGGAAGAAGUCCUAAUGGACUUCUAACCAUGUUUAAGACUGUCACUUACUUUGUGGCAUCCAAUGUAUAU